rnacentral:rRNA from 1 species
AUUGAACGCUGGCGGCAGGCCUAACACAUGCAAGUCGAACGAGUGGCGGACGGGUGAGUAAUACAUCGGAAUCUACUCUGUCGUGGGGGAUAACGAAGGGAAACUGACGCUAAUACCGCAUACGAUUGAAUGAGCCGAGGUGGGAUUAGCUAGUUGGCGGGGUAAAGGCUCACCAAGGCGACGAUCCCUAGCUGGUCUGAGAGGAUGAUCAGCCACACUGGAACUGAGACACGGUCCAGACUCCUACGGGAGGCAGCAGUGGGGAAUAUUGGACAAUGGGCGCAAGCCUGAUCCAGCCAUGCCGCGUGUGUGAAGAAGGCCUUCGGGUUGUAAAGCCCUUUUGUUGGGGAAGCGGUACCCAAAGAAUAAGCACCGGCUAACUCCGUGCCAGCAGCCGCGGUAAUAC